ensembl:lncRNA
GGAUAGGCUACCCACUCCAGUAUUCUUGGGCUUCUCUUAUAGCUCAGCUGGUAAAGAAUCCGCCUGCAAUGUGGGAGACCCGGGUUUGAUCCCUGGGUUGGGAAGAUCCCCUGGAGAAGGGAAAGGCUCCCCACUCCAGUAUUUUGGCCUGGAGAGUUCCAUGGACUGUAUAGUCCAUAGGGUCGCAAAGAGUCGGACAUGACUGAGCAAAUUUCACUUUCCAAAAAUAGGUUAUUUAAAGUGUCACCAUGUUCUCUCAGCUUACUGUUCAGUGUCCCUGUGGACCCCAUAAGGGAAGGACACUCAUCAGCUUCUUUCCUCUUUCCCAGUGUCCAUACAGACGGCGGGUGGGGGCUGGAGGUGCCUCCAGCUCUCUAAGGAAGGCAGCUCAGAUCCAAGCAGGAUCCCGCAGGGGGCCUGAAGGACUCUGCCGUCACUUAAACGGUACACGUGCGUGAUGACCACCAUGAUGGAGGUGAAGGGAGGCAGGUGGCCCAUGCCUGGCACAUGUCCCCGCGUCCCCUGCGGUGUAUCAGGACCGUUCACCUCUUACUGUGCAAGUGCACAGACGUGAAAACAGAGAAUCUCCACUUCAUCCCUGGUCUGCUGGCUCUGAGCAUGGAGGACAGCUGUGGCUUGAUGAAGCUGGACACCGAGGCCAGAUUCCAGUGAGUCCUGCCACCAGCAGCUGGGUGAGCUUGGGCAUAUCACUGACCCUAACCACUCCCCACCCACGAGACUGCGGGGG